rnacentral:rRNA from 1 species
GACAGAGGGUGCAAACGUUGUUCGGAAUUACUGGGCGUAAAGCGCGUGUAGGCGGUCGUGCAAGUCGGGUGUGAAAGCCCUCGGCUCAACCGGGGAAGUGCACUCGAAACUGCAUGACUAGAGUCUCGGAGAGGAUAGUGGAAUUCUCGGUGUAGAGGUGAAAUUCGUAGAUAUCGAGAGGAACACCGGUGGCGAAGGCGGCUAUCUGGACGAUGACUGAGCUGAGACGCGAAAGCGUGGGGAGCAAACAGG